UUACGCCCAAAGAUAUAAAAUUGCAGAUAGGCAAAGGUUACUUUUUGAAAUACAAUUUUAUUUUAAAAAGUAUAGACAAAUUUAUGCUUGUCUUGUAGUGAUACACACGCGUAGUGGCAUAGAAACAUUGGCGUGGAGUUUAUGCACCUUUUGACACCUUGCGUUCUUCAAAAAAUGGUGGUCCGUUACCAGGGUUGUUUACGUCACAGAAUUUUGUGUAUUUAUGAUGAUUUAUGAGUACAAAUUAAAAAAAAAUUAUGUCAUGCUAAAUAGUUACGUAAGUAAAGCUUGUAUUGGCUUCGUCUGUGUUUGUGUUAGCUGGCGGGCGUGCUCUGCCUUUUUGGAGUGUUUUUUUUUUUGUUAAAACUGACUGGAAAACGCUCUAAGGGGGUGCCGUGCGUGUGUCGGCGAGCGCCGGCACAGACGGGGUCCAUACUUGUAUAGUUUAACUAACUUGUUACAAAUAACUACAAACUUGACAUUGGCUAAUCUUUGUAAAGCCAGACGAGAGAGAAAAAAAAGCUUGUAAUGUACGCGCGCCGCCUCUUAAUGAUAAUUGGCUUAGGACUAAUUUCCCAAACGCCGAAUGAACUUAAUCUGACCAAUAGAUCUUACAUUUUGAUAGAUAUACAAAAAUUGUCAAAAAGUCAAAAUUUCUCGGCUAAAUAUUCUUUGGCGAUUGCAAAAUCGGCGCUUAUGCUCUUACCUAAAAGUGCAUUACUCAUUUUAACUGUCCUUUUGUAUAAAUACCAUAAAGUACUAUUCGAUGAAACGCACUAUAGUUACUUAAUUUUUAUUACCCUAAUUAUAAUUGAACUAGCUAACAUAUCCUGGCUUCUGAAGUUUAGCUUUAAGUAUUAAUAUGUAGAGAGACUAAUUUUAUUAGUGAACUUUUUAUUAUAAUUAGAGUAAAAUUGACACUUUUAAGAUAGCGCUUAAAAAACAGACAGAUCCAGUAGACUUUAAUAUAGUUCGGGUAAUUAUUUUAACUAAAUAAUUAUAUUAGCUAAAUUUAAAUGACUUAAUUUUGUUAGGUCGUUUCUUUUUCUGUACUUAUUAAAUCUGUUUGGUUUUGUGUUUAAAUUAUAACUAAUCGAUUCUAAAUAUUAUUGUUCAUUAAAAUUAACAAUAUUGUUAAAAUUUAUAAAAAAAAGACAAUUUCUCUUCACCUAACUGUGAAAUGAGCACAUUUAUAAAAUAAAUAUAAUAAAAAUUUAUAAAUC